UACAGAGGGUGCGAGCGUUAAUCGGAAUUACUGGGCGUAAAGCGCGCGUAGGCGGCUUUGCAAGUCGGGUGUGAAAUCCCCAGGCUUAACCUGGGAACUGCAUUCGAGACUGCAUUGCUAGAGUAUGGGAGAGGGAAGUGGAAUUUCCGGUGUAGCGGUGAAAUGCGUAGAUAUCGGAAGGAACACCUGUGGUGUAGACGGCUUACUGGACCAUGACUGACGCUGAGGCACGAAAGCGUGGGGAGCAAACAGG
rnacentral:rRNA from 1 species